UAACACAAGAAAGGUAUUAGUGUGUGUCUCUCUCCACAACACUGCCACUCCUGCGGGGGUGUCGACAAGAGAUUUGUUUGGUCAUGUCAUCUAUUUUCAUCUAACCUUAACCCGUCCGCUGCGAUUGGCACGAAUUUGGCCUUCACUGGUAGCCUGGUAACACAUACUCCCAGGUCUUUCUCUGCCUCUGUGGUGGAUAGUGGAGUGUUUCCCAUGUGGUAUUGGUGUGCUGGAUAUCCCUUCACUGGUAGCCUGGUAACACAUACUCCCAGGUCUUUCUCUGCCUCUGUGGUGGAUAGUGGAGUGUUUCCCAUGUGGUAUUGGUGUGCUGGAUAUCCCUUCACUGGUAGCCUGGUAACACAUACUCCCAGGUCUUUCUCUGCCUCUGUGGUGGAUAGUGGAGUGUUUCCCAUGUGGUAUUGGUGUGCUGGAUAUCCCUUCACUGGUAGCCUGGUAACAUACACUCCCAGGUCUUUCUCUGCCUCUGUGUUGGAUAGUGGAGUGUUUCCCAUGUGGUGUUGGUGUGCUGGAUAUCCCUUCACUGGUAGCCUGGUAACAUACACUCCCAGGUCUUUCUCUGCCUCUGUGGUGGAUAGUGGAGUGUUUCCCAUGUGGUAUUGGUGUGCUGGAUAUCCCUUCACUGGUAGCCUGGUAACAUACACUCCUAGGUCUUUCUCUGCCUCAGUGGUGGAUAGUGGAGUGUUUCCCAUGUGGUAUUGGUGUGCUGGAUAUCCCUUCACUGGUAGCCUGGUAACAUACACUCCCAGGUCUUUCUCUGCCUCUGUGGUGGAUAGUGGAGUGUUUCCCAUGUGGUAUUGGUGUGCUGGAUAUCCCCUCCCAAGAUGCAGGACCUUAUAUUUUUCUUCAUUGAAUUGUAGCAGCCAGUUUUUGUUCCAUUCCUGUAGCUUGGUGAUGUCUUCUGGUAGGAAAUCCGCUUUCAAGGGGUUAAAACAAUCACCACCAACUC